rnacentral:rRNA from 1 species
CAGCAGCCGCGGUAAUACGAAGGGGGCUAGCGUUGCUCGGGAUUACUGGGCGUAAAGGGCGCGUAGGCGGACAGUUCAGUCGGGGGUGAAAGCCCGGGGCCCAGCCUCGGAAUUGCCUUCGAUACUGGCUGUCUUGAGUGUGAGAGAGGUGUGUGGAACUCCGAGUGUGGAGGUGAAAUUCGUAGAUAUUCGGAAGAACACCAGUGGCGAAGGCGACACACUGGCUCACUACUGACGCUGAGGCGCGAAAGCGUGGGGAGCAAACAGGAUUAGAUACCCCCGUAGUCCUGUCUCUUAUACC